rnacentral:lncRNA from 1 species
GGCGUCGGAAAGCGGCCUUCUGGGACUCCGCAAACUCCCGUUCUCCCUCCCCCCUCCCCCUUGCCAUUCCCUUUGCCUUCCGGGCGCCAAGUCUCUCUGGCCUCCAAGGUGAACCCAACUCCCCAGCGCGCCCCGGGUUCCCGGGUCGGGCCGGCUUCAGGCGGUGGGGAGCGGGAUCCCGGGCCCCGGGCGGGCGGGAGGGACGGGACGCGGUGCAGUGUUGUUUUUUCCCCCGCCAAUAUUGCACUCGUCCCGGCCUCCGGCCCCCCCGGCCCCCCGGCCUCCCCGCUACCCCUAGCGGGGCAGCCCCCGCCCUCCUGGCUCUCCAUCCCGGCGGAUCUUUGAUAGACUGGAGUGUCGCCGCUGCCACCACGGGAAAAUGGGUCAUGGAGGAGUGACUUCACCAACAUCACUCAUAGGUGCUUGUGUCCGUGGUGAGAAGGGUGAUGGAGAGAAGUGGCUGCAGUUCCCACCCAUGGAGAGGUCACUGGUGAAUCCCAGCUAAAGAGGAAGGACAGGCCCGGCCUGAGUCCCACAGGAUUCCUCCAUUUGGAAGUGAUUGAACUGCAUAUCCCUUACAUACCAACUGCCAAGCCAGGGUCACUGUUCAUGGUCUGAACGAUUUCCAUGCCCUGGGGUUGUAUAGUAAAGAAAAAGCUGUGAUGCAGGCUUACCAUCUGAGUCCUUCUGAUUGGGAUUGGGUACCAGGCGGCAGUUAUCGGGACCAGGAGGCACAUAAUCUGGGAUGCCAUCAUUGUCAUCAUCCCCAUCACACUCAUCUCCAAGUCCAUCGUUAUCAGAGUCCAGCUGGGAGCUAUUUGGCAGCUGUGGGCAGUUGUCCUUGGUGUCCUGAUGCCCAUCCCCAUCGCUAAUCAGAAGAACAGGUUGGUGAAAGUCCCGAACUUUGUCUCCCCACCCAGAGGACAACUGGCCAGGAAAUCUGCCUGUUUCUUGUCUCACCCUCUAGUCCACACUCUGCCUAACACUACGCCCUACCUCACAUUCCUAUUGACAUCUGCUGCAGGUAAUCUCUCCUCACCCAGGCCAACGUCCACAAGCCUGCCUCCCUAUUUCACAGAGACUUCCUAGCUUCCCUGCUUCAUCCCCACCUGAUCCAAAUUCUCACAGGUCCCCCAGCCACCCCUUCAGCCCCAGGCCUGCACCAUCCCCAUCCACGUCGUUGUCACAGGCAUCUCCUUCCCCAUUGCCAUCUGUGUCCUUCUGGUCAUUGUUGGGAACGUUGGGGCAAUUGUCACAGGCAUCACCAAAUGAAUCUGUAUCUGA